UUCCCACCCUUUUCUCCUGCCAAAGCUGAACAUAUGGUGUAAAAAUACUUAACUUCCUCAGUCAGCCUCAUUCCCAAACAACCUCCAAUGGAUGUCAUUUCACUGGGGGGGGGGGGGGAGGUUUUUAAAAACAGAUUCUGUUUUUCAAAAGAUAUUUGCCCAGUGUACAGGCAAUGUCUAGGUUUUCCUUUAGGAAUUUUUUUUUAACCACUUCCUACCAAAACACAACUGUUGUGUGUGUGUUGUUUUGUUUGAGUUUGGAGGCUGCUCAUCAGUCUUUCCCAGACCUCAAGCAGCCUACUGACAACAGUGGAUCUGUAGAUCAAGAUAAUAGUACUUUAUGAUGUUUGAGAUCCAACAUUGUAAUCAGAGAUGGAAAAAAGGUUCUACCAGUAAAGCAAGAUCUGGCUAUUAAGCAUGCAGACAAAGGGCUGGAGAGAUGGCUCAGCAGUUAAGAGCCCUGGCUCACUGGCUGCUCUUCCAGAAGACCCAGGUUCAAUUCCCAGUACCCAAGUAGUGAGUCAUAACUAUCUGCUACCUCCAUUUCCAGGAGAUAUGAUGCCCUCUUCUGGCUUCUGUGGGUAUCACGCACAUGCGUCAUACAAGUACACAUUCAAGCAGACACAAACAUACGAAAUAAAAUAACUUUUUUUUUUUUUUUUUUUUUUGGUUUUUCGAGACAGGGUUUCUCUGUGUAGUCCUGGCUGUCCUGGAACUCACACUGUAGACCAGGCUGGCCUCGAACUCAGAAAUCCGCCUGCCUCUGCCUCUCGAGUGCUGGGAUUAAAGGUGUGCACCACCACGCCCGGCUACGAAAUAAAAUAACUUUUAAAGACAAUAAUGCAAGCUGGGUGAUGGUGGUACACAUCUUUAAUUCCAGCACUGGGAAGGCACAGGCAGGUGGAUCUCUUCUGAGAUUGAGGCUAGCCUGGUCUACAAGUAGUAGUUCCAGGAUAGCCAGAGCUAUGUAGAAAAACAUCUUCUUGAAAAAUAAUAAUAUAAAUUAGUAAUAGUGUGAAGAAAAGAGCUAGGGGUGUAGCUCUUGGUAGAUUAUUUUCUUAGUAUGCACGAAAGAAGUCUAAGUUAUGCUCAGUGAUGUAGUGAAUCAGAGAUCAGCUUGGGAUACAUGAGAACCUCUGUGUGCAUGUGCAUGUGUGUGAAGAGAGAGUGGCAGGGUCUCUUUAGGUAGGUCUUACUGGCCUCAAACUCACAAAAAUUCACCUGCCUCUCCCUCCCAAGUGCUGGUUCAAAGCCUUGAGCCACAAUGGCCAGCAGAGAAACUUGUCUUUUUUUUUUUUUUUCAAUUGUAUGUGCAUUGAUAUUGAUGUUUUGCCUGAAUGUAUAUCUAUGUAGGUCCUGGCGUUACAUACAGUUGCAAGCCAUUAUGUGAGUGCUGGGAAUUGAAUCCAGAUCCUUUGGAAGAGCAGUCAGUACUCUUAACUGCUGAGCCACCUCCAGUGUCAAGAACUGUAUCUCUAAAAUUAUAUAUACAUAUAUGUGUGUGUGAGGUGGUAUUUAAUAAAUAAUUUCCUUUUUUGUUUUGUUUCAAAACAGGGUUUCUUUUUGUAGCCCUGGCUGUCCUGGAACUACAGGCUUGCCCCAAACUCAGAUCCCCCCAAGCUCUGGGGUUGAAGGUGUGCGCCACCACCACCCAGCAUUUUCCCCCUUUAUAAGAUCAUCACAUCACUAAACCAUCAUGCUAAAAGAACAUAACUGGCUUUAAAAGAUAAAAGCACGCUCUUGAAGCUCUCACCUUCCUUACUCUCGUCUCUAGCCCUCCUCUCCCCACCCCACCCCCAAUGCGGCCAUGGAUGGCCUCCCUCUUUCUACCUUCUUUUCCCUACCUCCCUACAAUAAAGCUCUAAAACCAUAAAGAAAGAAAAAAAAAAGAUAAAAGCACAAUGUCUCAAGCUCAGAUUCAGACAGGCACAGUGGCUCACCUACAGCACUGGGAAACAGGCAGGAGGGUCAAGAAUCUAAAGUUAUCCUUGGCUGUAUAUGGAGUUGAUGACCAACCUGGACAUACAUACGAGACAACUCAAAAAGAAAUUAAGUAACAACAACAACAACAAAAACCCAGGUCCAGUUGGGUGGGGUGAUAGAGGAUUGCAUUCCUGGUAUGCAGGAGUGGGAGUCGCAGGAAUGGAAGGCUAGCCUUGGACCACAUACACUCUAUAAAAGAACUAGAUCCUGAGACUCCAGUCUUUGGUGGUGAGGUGCUGUUCUGCUACUUCUGACAGGAGGCUCCCAGAAAGACAGAGGUGAGUAAGUGUAUUCUUUACUCUGCUAAGAAAACAGAGCUAUCUGAUUCUAGAUGUUCCUAUCAGAGGAGUGCAGGAGGCCCUCAUUAACACAUGGGAAUCCUGGGAAGUUGGGGGAGUUAAGUAGGGAAAAACAGCUUUUUUUUUUUUAAGAUUUAUUUCAUGUAUGCGAGUAUACUGCCGAUGUCUUCAGACACACACCAAAAGAAGAGGGCAUUAGAUCCCAUUACAGAUGGCUGUGAGCCACCAUGUGGUUGCUGGGAUUUGAACUCAGGACCUCUGGAAUAGCAGUCAGUGCUCUUAACAGCUGAGCCAUCCUUCCAGCCCCAGCUUUUGUUUUUAAUUUCUGGCAAAGCUUUAUAUGUGUGUGUGUGUGUGUGUGUGUGUGUGUGUGUGUGUGUGUGUGUGUGUGUGUGUGUGUGUAUCCCCUCAAACUCAGAUCCCUCCCUGAGCUCUGGGAGUGAAGGUGUGCGCCACCACCACCCAGCAUUUUCCCCCUUUAUAAGAUCAUAAUAUCACUAAACUUUCAUGCUAAAAGAAUAUAACUGGCUUUAAAAGAUAAAAGCACAAUGUCUCAGGCUCAGAUUCAGACAGGCGCAGUGGCUCACCUAUAGCACUGGGAUGUCCUGUGAGAUCCUAGAGAUAACUAACAAGUCCACCAUAGAACUGUUCUUAAACACAAUCCACUCAGCAACCUGAUACAUUUUACAAACCUCUGUAAGAUCCAUUAAAUUCCCCUUGGCAUACAGAUGUACUGCUUUUGAGAUGCCCUGUAAAAACAGCUGUCUUCAAAGAGCCUGAUGAAGUGACAACCUUUGGCUAUCUGACUCUCUUCUACUUUUUGGCCAAAAAUAGAACAAGCACAAGAAACAAGCAAACACUUGGGACUCUAAUAAGUAGUCAGUUCCCAGAGCGUCCACUGCUCUGUCAGAGCCUUAGACCUGCAUCUUUCUUCUCAAGGUCUCAGCAUUUGCUUUCAGAGAAUUCUACCCAUGUCACCCAAAUUCAUCCAUCCAUCUUUCUUCCUUUCUUCUUUCUUUCCCUUUUUCUUCCUUCCUUCUUUGCUUUGUCUUGUUUGUUUUUCUUCAAGACAGGGUUUCUCUGUGUAGCCCUGGCUGUCCUGGAACUCACUCUGUAGACCAGGCUGGCCUCGAACUCAGAAAUCCACCUGCCUCUGCCUCGCAAGUGCUGGCAUCAAAGGCGUGCACCACCACUGCCCAGCUUCUUUGUCAUUUUUAAUCCUUUAAAUACUUACCUCUUUUUAAGUGUUCUGUCCAUUAUAGCAGCUGAACACACGUGAAGACCCAGGAUCCAAGAGAGCAAAUAUGGGCUGCAAAUCUUGGUUCUGGAACUCAGGAAAUACCACUCUUGCCACAUUCUGUUAGUUUACUAAAUCUAGGCAGAAGCCAGUUCACACUCAAAAGGGGAAAUAAAAUUAAUAGGAAGUGUUUGGUUUCUAGGUCCCAGAAUAAGGGACUGGGGUGUAUAUUUUACAUAUCAAAGCAGACCUGGCCCCCAGGUUCUCCCAGCAUCCCUCCUCCCUACCUGGCAUACCCUGCCCACAACCUUGAAUUUGCCAUUCCAGGGGCCAGGCUGCCCUUCCUGCCCUUCCCCCAGAGGUUCCUCCCUCUAUAAUCCAGACAUUUUGCCCGCGCGGGCUCUCUCUCUCUCUCUCUCUCUCUCUCUCUCUCCCUCCCCCCCCCUCGACCCUGCUCUCUUCUUCCCCUCCCCAUCUCUCCUCCUCCUUUUCUCCCCUUGUUCGAGAACUUGUUAUCUUUUUCUCUUCCCCCAUCCCCAUCCAUGGCCACCCCCCUGGCCCCAAUCCUUGGGGACAGUGAACUCACUCAAGAGCAGAUUCCCAGUAAACCUGCCUUUAAUAUGAUCCUGUCUGGCUCUAAUUGGCUCAUUUAUCAGGAAUAACAGCAAGUAUAUACAUCCCACAUAAGAUCAUAAAUUAUGGGAGACAUUGGUCCAACUGUGGACCCAACCCCCAUAGCACAGGAGGCAAAGCUGAAGUGAGGAGUGCAACGUCGUCUCACAAUCGCGUAAACCCUGACUCUGCUUUGCUGCCCUGGAGAUCUCUGGCAUACUAUGGCAUACUAUGCACAUAUUUGCCACUUAGCUAUCACCCACCACCCCCGUUUUUAUUUAUUUAUUUGAGUACACACUGUAGCUGUCUUCAGACACACCAGAGGAAGUCAUUGGAUCCCAUUACAAAUGGUUGUGAACCACUAUGUGGUUGCUGGGAAUUGAACUCAGGACCUCUGGAAGAGCAGACAGUGCUCUUCAUUGCUGAGUCAUCUCUCCAGCCCCUUAACUUUUCAUUAUUUAGGGACUAUUUUAUUAGUUUUUGUAAUCAAACUACUGUACAUAAGACCAUUCAGUGCAAUAAUAGAAAUAAUUUUACUUUAGUUUUUGUUUCUGGAUAGGUUUGAUAGCCAGCCCAGGAGAUCUACUGUUCUCUGCCUUUCCAACACUGAGAUAACAACUGCCUAGUCAUGGGCUGGAGAUAAGGCUCAGUGGUAAAGAGCACAAUUUAUUAUUACAGAAUUGAACUCAGGUUCAAACCCUAGCACCCACAUUGUACAUCACAAUUGCCUGUAACUCUAGUUCACGAAGAUGACUCCGUCUUCUGGUCUCCAGGGGAGCCAGGUAUGUGUGUGUGUGUGUGUGUGUGUGUGUGUACAAACACACAUAUACAAAUAUUCAAACACAAAAAUAAACCUUUUUCUAAAUUAAGCUAAAACAAUGUCUGCCACCCCACACAGCUUUGCCUUAAAUUUAUGUGGGUUCUGGGAAUCUCAGAAUCUCAUGCUUUCACAGCAAACACUUUACUGAGCUACCUCCCCAUUUCUUGCACAUUUUCUUUUAAAAAAAAAAAAAAGAACAAAUUUAUUAUAUGUAUAUGAGUACACUGUAGCCGUCUUCAGGCACACCAGAAAAGGGCAACGGAUCCCAAUUACAGAUGGAUAUGAGUAACCAUGUGGUUGCUGGGAAUUGAACUCAGGACCUCUGGGAGAGCACUGAGUGCUCUUACCUGCCGAGACAUCUCUCCACUCAUCCUGAACAUUUUUAAAGAGUGCUCCCUCACGCUGAAAAAGAUGGUUCCCUAAUUAAGAUGUUUGUCUUAGAAUAUGCCUGAAUUCCCAGAACUCGGAUAUUGAGGCAGGAGGAUUGUGAGUUGCAGAACCACAUAGUGAAACUCCACUCUCCUUUCACACACUUUGUAUAGAAAGAAAGAAAGAAAGAAAGAAAGAAAGAAAGAAAGAAAGAAAGAAAGAAAGAAAGAAAGAAAGAAAGAAGGAGGGAGGGAGGGAGGGAGGGAGGGAGGGAGGGAGGGAGGGAGGGAGGGAGGGAGGGAGGGAGGAAGGAAGGAAGGAAGGAAGAUAAUAUUUAACUUAGAAAAUCUGGGGCCUUAAGGGCAGAAAUCUAUGAUACAGUGCUUGACCGUAUGUGCAAGGACCAGAAUAUACAAUCAACCAGACUAACAGUCUGUUCACUCCUUCCCGUCCAUCCAUCUCUCCACGCAUACACCCACCCGUCAAACACUCACACUUGUUCUAGCCCUGCUAUUUUAAAUGCGUUGUCACUAACGACUUAAAGAAACAACAUGGCGGGUCUGCCAGCUACCAACAUGGCAAACACAGCCUCAGCGCUCCCGGAAACACGAGAGAGAACUACCGUGAGGAUUACGUCCGGCUGGUUCGCCAACCGGAAGUGGCUUUUCAUCUUGGCUCUAUCCGGCUGGCCUUCGGGCGUCCUCGUGAGAAUUAGAUGUUUCUUAGUUCUAGGCUGGGGAGGUGCUAGUCCGCCGCGCCUGAUUCGAGCCGAGUCCGCGCUGGGAGCUAGGAUGUCGGACACGUGGAGCUCUAUCCAGGCCCAUAAGAAACAGCUGGACUCGCUUCGCGAGAGAUUGCAGCGGCGACGGAAGCAGGACUCUGGGCACUUGGAUUUAAGGAACCCAGAAGCGGCACUGUCCCCAACCUUCCGUAGUGAUAGUCCCGUGCCUACUGCCCCUACCUCUAGCGGCCCUAAGCCCAGCACAACAUCUGUGGCCCCUGAACUAGCUACAGACCCUGAGUUAGAGAAGAAGUUGCUACACCACCUCUCAGAUCUGGCCUUGACCUUGCCCACUGAUGCUGUUUCCAUCCGUCUUGCCAUCUCUACGCCAGAUGCACCUGCCACUCAAGAUGGGGUAGAAAGCCUUCUCCAGAAAUUUGCCGCCCAGGAGUUGAUUGAGGUAAAGCGAGGUCUCCUCCAAGAUGAUGCACAUCCUACUCUUGUAACUUACGCUGACCACUCCAAGCUGUCUGCCAUGAUGGGGGCUGUGGCAGAAAAGAAAGGUCUUGGAGAGGUAGCAGGGACCAUCGCAGGGCAGAAACGGCGUGCAGAACAGGAUUUGACUACAGUGACCACCUUUGCCAGCUCUUUAGCAUCUGGUCUGGCCUCUUCAGCAUCAGAACCAGCUAAGGAGCCGGCUAAGAAGUCAAGGAAGCACGCUGCCUCCGAUGUUGAUCUGGAGAUAGAAAGCCUUUUGAACCAACAGUCAACGAAAGAACAGCAGAGCAAGAAGGUCAGUCAGGAGAUCCUAGAGCUAUUAAAUACCACAACAGCCAAGGAACAGUCCAUUGUUGAAAAGUUUCGCUCUCGAGGUCGGGCCCAGGUGCAAGAAUUUUGUGAUUAUGGGACCAAGGAAGAGUGCAUGAAAGCCAGUGACGCUGACCGGCCUUGUCGCAAGCUGCACUUCAGACGAAUUAUCAAUAAGCACACUGAUGAAUCUUUAGGUGACUGCUCUUUCCUUAACACAUGUUUCCACAUGGACACCUGCAAAUAUGUUCACUAUGAAAUUGAUGCUUGUGUUGAUUCUGAGAGUCCUGGCAGCAAGGAGCAUAUGCCAAGCCAGGAGCUUGCUCUUACACAGAGUGUUGGGGGUGACUCCAGUGCUGAUCGACUCUUUCCACCUCAGUGGAUCUGUUGUGAUAUCCGCUACCUGGACGUCAGUAUCUUGGGCAAAUUUGCAGUUGUGAUGGCUGACCCACCUUGGGAUAUUCACAUGGAGCUACCGUAUGGGACAUUAACAGAUGAUGAGAUGCGCAGGCUCAAUAUACCAGUGCUACAGGAUGACGGCUUUCUUUUCCUCUGGGUCACAGGAAGGAGAAAUGUAACUUGACAAGUCCCUUCUCUCAGUGUUCCUGCCAAUCUGCCCUUGUGUCUUGUGCUGUGCCUCAGCUGUGAAGCUGGUUAAAGCUCAGGUUCUCUCCUAUGCUCCAGUUAUGAACGGGUGGAUGAAAUCAUCUGGGUGAAGACUAAUCAGCUGCAGCGCAUCAUUAGGACGGGCCGGACGGGUCACUGGUUAAACCACGGGAAGGAACACUGCUUGGUUGGUGUUAAGGGAAAUCCUCAAGGAUUCAACCAGGGCCUGGACUGCGAUGUGAUUGUAGCUGAGGUUCGUUCCACCAGUCAUAAACCAGAUGAAAUAUAUGGCAUGAUUGAGAGACUGUCCCCUGGCACCCGCAAGAUUGAGUUAUUUGGACGACCAC